AGUAAUGUAUCGGAACGUGCCCAGUCGUGGGGGAUAACCGCUCGAAAGAGCAGCUAAUACCGCAUACGACCUGAGGGUGAAAGCGGGGGGAUCGCAAGACCUCGCGCGAUUGGAGCGGCCGAUAUCAGAUUAGGUAGUUGGUGAGGUAAAGGCUCACCAAGCCGACGAUCUGUAGCUGGUCUGAGAGGACGACCAGCCACACUGGGACUGAGACACGGCCCAG
rnacentral:rRNA from 1 species